rnacentral:SRP_RNA from 1 species
GCUGGGCGUGGUGGCAUGCGCCUGUAAUCCCAGCUACUUGGGAGGCUGAGGCAGGAGAAUUGCUUGAACCCGGGAGGCGGAGGCUGCAGUGAGCUGAGAUUGUGCCACUGCACUCUCCAGCCGGGGUGACAGAGCGAGACUCAGUCUCAA